ACAGCAUACAACAUUACAACUGAAGCUCUAUAGGCAGCAGCAUAAAUUUAAAACACAUGCAAUUGUAUUGUGGAGGUUCAGUUGCCAAUUCUUAGGAGCACAAUACCAUCAUGUAUCCUUCAUAUAAAAAUAGUAUACAUGCACAAUUAAAAAACUCACAAAAUUGCCAAUGAAGCUCUCAAGUUUGAACUGGUACCAGGCUGGGUCGUUAUCAAUACAUGCUGCAGUAACUGUGUUGUUGUUUUCAUAUAAUAGAAUGGUUUUUUUCAUCGACUCAGUGUUUACCAGAAACCUGUUUUUUCCCCCUACUAAUUAUUGUACUUGCUGGGUCUAGGAUUUGGACCUCUUACAUACCAAGUCAGGCUACUACCAGUCUACCACCUAACUAGUUGUUACUUGGAGUUUCUUAGUUCUUCUAAAUGAAACGUGUACUCUGAACGUUCUCAAGACAAAGGAAAUUUAACAAAGCUCAGUUUGCUCUAUGUUAUUUCAAACUUUUUAGUUCAUAAGAUGAUGGGGAGCAGGAUAGGCAACUCAAUCUUCAGAGAGAUGUUACAGCUAUUUAAAAGGUGCAAGAAGCUUAUGAGAAAUUAAGGAGUCGAUGUUACAGGUAUUCGCACAAAAGGUUCACAAGGAUCAAUCUUCCAGGCACAAACUAGCUCCAAGAAGGUUUCAGUCUCAGAAUAAUUUCAACAUUACACCACGACUGAAGGUGCACGCCACAUGAAUAAUUGAAUCACUGAACACCUGGAAUAAAUUUCCAACACUGGAAGCUGGUCGGUUGGCACUACUGCUUUCAAGUAUGGUGAGGAUACUUAAAUCUCUUUAGGUUAGGUGAUGAACCAGCCAGGGAUUCCCAAGUUCCAACUCUAUGAAUCCAGUGAUUUCGUAUGAUGAUGAUUCCAUUCUACAGUUCAGAAAAUCCCAAUCCCCACAAAGCAAACAAAUGAAUCCACCUUACUAUGGUUUUGAUUUACCGAUCCCAUGCUCUUCUACUGAUAGUACUGCACCUAUAUCCCGUCCAAUUCCCUAUGCCAAAGUUAGCAAAAAGGUUAACAGAAUCGCCACACCUCCAAGCAGAACUCUACCAUUCUGAAACUUUUGGAUAAAGGUUUAGGUAUAUGACAUUCUGAAUUUUCUCACAACUCACUCAAAUGGGAGCUUUUUGCCUAUUUGCCAGUUCAAAUGUUUGGCUUCGCCGAUUUGCCAAUAAUAACACUGCAACCUUGUUUUUGUUGCCAUUUUGCUGUUUCUAAUCUAUUUUAAUUUUCUCUCCUAUACAUACCCACGCGAAAUGACAAUCUUACCCCUUAUCUCUUGUUACAAAGGAUUCCUCCUUGGAUGGCUGGUUCAUUCAGCUUGCUCGUUCCAGGAAGAUGGCGGCACUUGGAGGUUCGACGGUGGUGAGCUCGGUGGGCGGGUCUGCUGCUCCAGCCGAAGUACGUUGUUCCAGUGGCGUUCCUUCCCAUAAUCUUUAAAGUCUGAGUUCUCAAUUUCUCCUCUUUCUCGUUGACCUGAAACCCUAGGUUUCCGAUGCCGGCGAGGAGCAGCUAAUGAGGACAGGAGCGGGCGGUAGAGGGUUGUGCCCCAGCUUGAAGGACAGCACUGUUGGGUAAUUUCUAUUUCUCAGACCAUCUUUUCAUUCUUUGUUGUUGCACUGUGCAUAAGGGGAACUGAUGUUAGAUUGAACUCUAACUCACUUCAUCCCUUUAUCUUUGUUAGGAUAAUCCAGAUGGGGUUUUUAGUAUUUCCAUUAGAGUUGUUCCCUAUGUUGCGAGUCGUGAUGAUGGAACUGUCAAGCAGUAUGAAAGGCAAGAUCUGGAUUGGGAUGUGUCCUUGAAUGGGUACACAAUGGAUAGUUUUCUUGGAGAUCUCAAGCAGAGGUUGCAUUGGGGUAGUACACAAGAGCCUCACAUCUGGUGCACUGACAUGAGCACAAAGACCUAAGAAAGGGUUCAAAUCAGUGAGCAUCUGUUAACCAUAUUCAAGGAUAGAUGGUCUGUAAAGUGGGUGUGCUUCUUAGUUGAAAUUGUUGACAUAGGAAGUAGUUUUUCAUGUCAGUCAAGUGUGACUUUCUUGAACAGUGGCGCACAGGAACCACUUCUGCUUGAGUAUGUACCAUGUGAGCUACCUGAUUUUGAAUCGAUUGAUUAGGACACACUGGUAAUUCAGGAAAGCCAUGAUGAGGAAGGAAGAAUUGAAAGCAUUGGACAAGAUGAAUUGUACGUUAUUUUGGGGUUGAAGGAUGAGGAUGAAAGGGCGAAAAAGGCCGCAGAGGCUGCAGCACAGGCUGCUGAAACCCAAGGAGGUACCAUGCUAUUGGACAUAGAGGGUACAGCCAUUCCAGUGGAUGAUGUCAUACCAGAGGAGUUGCACAUAAGUUAUGACAAGGAUAAGCCACAAAUGAAACUUGGCCUUUGGUACCCUGAUAUGGAUGAGUUCAGGUUGGUUGUGAGGCAAUAUGCAAUCAAUGAGGAGUUUGAAUUGGGCACGGAGAAAUCAGAUCAAAAGUGAUUUAGAGGGUUCUGCAUAGGUGAAGAUUAUCCUUGGAGAAUAGUCGGCAAUCGUCAAAGUGAUGAGAGAACUGUCAUGAUCACCCUUUUAGUGGAUAAACAUGAUUGUCUAUCAACCAGCAGAAUAAAGGCUACUAUAGCUUCAAAAUCCUAGGUGGCUGCAAAAGCUGUCCCUAUCCUCAUCAAGGAUGAGAAAAUGGGUGCUAAGAAGCUGCAGAAAAAGUUGGAAGAUGACUACAAUAUCACUAUUCGGUAUGAUACAGUUGGAAGGGAAGGGAGAUGGCUUUGAAACAGAUAUAUGGGUCAUGGGAAGAGAGUUUCCAUACAUUGUACAGUUGGAAGGCAGAGAUUGAGAAGGUGUCUCCAGGAAGUGUUGUUGAGAUUGAUACCGAGGUUGUACAAGGGAGAGUUUACUUUCGUAGAUUUUUUUGUGCACUGGCCCCUUGCAUUGAGGGAUUCAAGGCUGGUUGUAGGCCAUACCUGUCCAUUGAUGGAACUGCACUUAAUGGAAGGUGGAAUGGUCAUUUAGCUUCUGCAACAGGUAUAGAUGGAAACAAUUGGAUGUAUCCAAUAGCCUUUGGAUUCAUAGAUUCAGAGACUGCAGAUAAUUAGGUUUGGCUUAUGAGUCAGCUCAAUAAAGCAAUAGGGAAUGCUUCUCCUUUGGCCAUCUGUACAGAUGCUUGUAAAGGUUUGGAAAAUGCAAUUGAGCAAGUAUUCCCUCAAGCUGAACAUAGGGAAUGCUUUAGACACUUGAUGCAGAACUUCAUCAAGAAGUAUUCUGGUGACACAUUUGGACGGAUGUAUCCUGCUGCAAAAGCAUAUAGAAAUGCUGUUUUUGAUCAUCACAUGAAAAAAAAAUUUGGAUGCAAAUUCUGAAGUGGAGAAGUACCUAGCUUAGUACCAUCACCUGAAGUGGAUGAGGUGUGCUUUCAACCCAGCCAUCAAAUGUGAUUACAUAACAAAUAUUUGCUGAGGUGUUUAAUAACUAGGUAAAAGACUAUAAAGACCUGCCUGUUACAGAGCUAGCUGACAAGAUAAGGGAGAUGAUAAUGGUACUAUGGGAUAAGAGAAGAAGGAUGGGAGAAAGGUUUCAUGGAUGGUUAUUACCAACUGUAAGGCUUCAGCUAAGGGCAAGGACUAGAGGAUUAGGUUGAGAGUUGUCAGUUCUGCUAGAUUUUCUGUAGAAGUUUGGGACAACAGUAGAGAUACCAUGUGAGGCAUGUUGUCAAAUUAUUGGACAGAACCUGCACUUGUGAGGAGUGGCAACACACAGGUAAAACCAUGUGACGACACAAAAGCAAGUCCCAUUCAAUGAUUAUGUUCAUGAGUACUUCUCAGUUCAAAGGUUUAUAGCAGCAUAUCAAGGAGUGAUUGAACCAAUGACUGACAGAAGUCAGUGGCCUAAGGUCGACCUUGGCUAUGUCUUAGGGGCACCUCUUGGGAAAAGGGGAGUAGGAAGACAGAGAAAGAAUAGGAUCAAAAGCUUCCUGGAGGGGGGUAGCAGGAAAGGAUAAUGAGGAAGAGAAAGACACAGAAAAGGGAAAGGAGAAGAUAACGAUUAGAGGCCCAAUGACAUGCCCAAGAUGUGGAAAUAAGGGUCAUAGACAGGCUAGCUACAAAUGUCCACUAAAUGGCACAAAAAAGAAGCCGAGGAAGCCUAGGAAAAAUAAAACAAAGCAGUUGAGAACUGAUUCUACACCUGUUAAGUCUAAAAACAUAAGGGAUCCACUACUAGAAGACAGCCCUGGGAUGCUCACAAGAAGGCGUCUAGAGAUGCUCAGAGGAGAAGGCACUUCCAAUUAGAGCACUGCAGCACCUCCUGCUACUCCAAGCACACCAACAGCUUCAGUUAAGACUGCUGGCAAGACUGCUACUAAAAAGAUUACUCCAAAGAAGAGGAAAAGGAACCUGGAAGACUGCUACUAAAACCCUCUCUUUUGUAUCAUGAAAGUGCUCUAUUUUGUUGAGCCAACUAAACUGUGUGAUGACUCUGCUAUUUUGUUCAGCCAUCUAAACUAUGUGAUGACUGCUAUUUCAAAUUAUGGUCUGUAUGCUAAAUGGUUGCAGCCUGGACCUUGCAACGAAGUUGACUGAAUUUGUGAACUCGUUAUGAAUGAAUGAACCAUGAUAUUGUUGGGAGUAAAAUUAAUUCUCAAUGUUCAUGUCAAUCGGGCUGCAGCACACGAAUUUUGGCAGGGGCGACGCUAGGACCUGGGUUUGCCGUGGUGCUCGUCCAGUACUCAAGAACAGCUCCGAACAGCCUUAUCCGGAACGUGUGCACUUAGGAAAGGAAAGGUAUAAGGGGUAAGAUUAUCAUUUCACGUGGGUAUGUAUGGGAGAGAGAAUUAAAAUGGAUUGGAAACAGCAUAGUGGCAAGCAAAACAAGGUUGCAGGUGUUAUUAUUGGUGAAUCGGCGAAGCCAUUGUUGGCAGUGGCAAAUCGGCGAAGCCAAACGUUUGAACUGGCAAAUAGGCAAAAAGCUCCUCAAAUGGACAAUGCACAAUCGGUGGAAAUACGAAUGCACAAACGUGUUCCCAGAUUCUCGUAACUCUCGC